GACGAACGCUGGCGGCGUGCUUAACACAUGCAAGUCGAACGAUGAAGCCUAGCUUGCUAGGUGGAUUAGUGGCGAACGGGUGAGUAAUACGUGAGUAACCUACCUUUAACUCUGGGAUAAGCCUGGGAAACUGGGUCUAAUACCGGAUACGACCAAUCUCCGCAUGGGGUGUUGGUGGAAAGCGUUAUGUAGUGGUUAUAGAUGGGCUCACGGCCUAUCAGCUUAUUGGUGAGGUAACGGCUCACCAAGGCGACGACGGGUAGCCGGCCUGAGAGGGUGACCGGCCACACUGGGACUGAGACACGGCCCAGACUCCUACGGGAGGCAGCAGUGGGGAAUAUUGCACAAUGGGCGCAAGCCUGAUGCAGCGACGCCGCGUGAGGGAUGACGGCCUUCGGGUUGUAAACCUCUGUUAGCAGGGAAGAAGAGAGAUUGACGGUACCUGCAGAGAAAGCGCCGGCUAACUACGUG
rnacentral:rRNA from 1 species